rnacentral:rRNA from 3 species
UUGACCUCGAAUCAGGUAGGAAUAC